rnacentral:rRNA from 1 species
UGAGCGUGCUUUCGAUACGGGUUGACUUGAGGAAGGUAGGGGAGAAUGGAUUUCCUGGUGGAGCGGUGGAAUGCGCAGAUAUCAGGAGGAACACCAGUGGCGAAGGCGGUUCUCUGGGCCUUUCCUGACGCUGAGGAGCGAAAGCGUGGGGAGCGAACAGGCUUAGAUACCCUGGUAGUCCACGCUGUAAACGGUGGGUACUAGGUGUGGGGUCCAUUCCACGGGUUCCGCGCCGUAGCUAACGCUUUAAGUACCCCGCCUGGGGAGUACGGCCGCAAGGCUAAAACUCAAAGGAAUUGACGGGGCCCCGCACAAGCGGCGGAGCAUGCGGAUUAAUUCGAUGCAACGCGUAGAACCUUACCUGGGUUUGACAUGGAUCGGGAGUGCUCAGAGAUGGGUGUGCCUCUUUUGGGGUCGGUUCACAGGUGGUGCAUGGCUGUCGUCAGCUCGUGUCGUGAGAUGUUGGGUUAAGUCCCGCAACGAGCGCAACCCUUGUUCACUGUUGCCAGCACGUUAUGGUGGGGACUCAGUGGAGACCGCCGGGGUCAACUCGGAGGAAGGUGGGGAUGACGUCAAGUCAUCAUGCCCCUUAUGUCCAGGGCUUCACGCAUGCUACAAUGGCUGGUACAGAGAGUGGCGAGCCUGUGAGGGUGAGCGAAUCUCGGAAAGCCGGUCUCAGUUCGGAUUGGGGUCUGCAACUCGACCUCAUGAAGUCGGAGUCGCUAGUAAUCGCAGAUCAGCAACGCUGCGGUGAAUACGUUCCCGGGGCUUGUACACACCGCCCGUCAAGUCAUGAAAGUUGGUAACACCCGAAGCCGGUGGCCUAACCGUUGUGGGGGAGCCGUCGAAGGUGGGACUGGUGAUUAGGACUAAGUCGUAACAAGGUACCAAUCCCGCGGCCAGGCGGCCG